ACCAAGAAGAAUCCAUAAAUGCUACGAGUCUGGCACAUGACGAGUCUCUUGGUUGACUAAACUCAAAUUAACUAAACUUAUAUCACUAAUUUGUGAGUUCUGAAGAGGAAUCCAGGUUAUUCCUUGAGAAACAAUAUUUUUGACAUUUGAAAGAAUAUCUGCAUCUUUGAGAGAUGGUACGCAUUAUUGUAGACACAGAUUGGGAAGACCUGUUUUGGAGAUGAUGAGGAAAGUCAAACCAAAUUGUGGCUGAACAGAGACCCUUAAACAGAAUUCAGUAUAUGGAAUGAGGAAAAUAUAGUUGUAUUAAAUAAGGAACAGAAG
rnacentral:lncRNA from 1 species